CUUUUAAGUAAAUAAUUUGUCAAACGAGAAAACAAUUUGAAGAGUGUUAACCGGUUAGCUUGGCUGGAAGACAUGACUUUUCGAUCAUUAUCGACUCACAUGAUAAUAUCGUACCAAAGACGACAAUGUCGCACAGAAUAUAAUAUUUUAUCGCACAGCACGUUAUUAUCGUCUUCUGGGCGACAUCAUCGUCUUCUGGUCGAUAUUAUCGUCUUCUGGUCGAUAUUAUCGUCUUCUGGGCGACAUCAUCGUCUUCAUGACGAUAUUAUCGUCUUCAGGGCGAUAUUAUUCUUCUGGUCGACAUCAUCGUCUUCUGGGCGACAUCAUAGUCUUCUGGUAUAUACUAUCGUCUUACAGUCCGAGACCGCAGGUAGCUCAAUCUGUAGAGCGAUGGACUCACGCUCUAUAUGUCACGGGUUCGACUCCCGCGUCAGACAUAGUUCAUAGGGUUUUUCCUAAUCGUAAAUGAUUAGUCACUGGUGUUAGUUACCACUAGUAAGCUCUAUCGACCGUAAUAGGUCUCUAAGAAAACAACAACAAAAAUGCUGAACACAGUUCUCAUACGUCGCAUGCGUAAGUCACAAUCGUGAUUCUAAAAAUGUCAACCACUGGCGACACCUAUGUUCUAAUAGAUAAAUCAUAUGAUUCACAAUUGUAAAAUCUAUCGAAAAUAUGGGUAAUGCACAACAGGCACUUUGGCGGAUUAGGUGUUUGUAAAGCAUCAGCUUUCCUGCCGAUCUUAUCCUAUCCUAUCCUACAGUCGAUGGAUACUAUCGUGUUUUCGGCGACAUGUACGUCUUCUCGGCGAUUUUAUCGUCUUCUGGGCGAUAUUUUCGUCUUCUGGGCGAUAUUAUCGUCUUCUAGGCGAUAUUUGCGUCUUCUGGGCGAUAUUAUCGUAUUCUAGGCGAUAUUUGCGUCUUCUGAGCGAUAUUAUCGUCUUCUGGGCGAUAUUAUCGUUUUAUAGGCGAUAUUAUCGUCUUCUGGGCGAUAUUAUCGUCUUCUGGUCGAUAUUAUCGUCUUCUGGUCGAUAUUAUCGUCCUCUGGUCGAUAUUAUUGUCUUAUUCGCAAUAUAAUCGUCUUCUGGUAGAUCCUUAGGACGAUAUUAUCGUCGUCUGGGCGAUCGUCUUUAGGAUGUCUUAUUGUCUUCUGGUCAAUUUUAUCAUCCACGAAAAAAUAUUAUAGCCUUUGCAAAUACAAUAUCUUUGAAAAUCAGUAGUUUGAUUGUCAGUUAUGAAUAUCGUCCUCAGAAUGACUGCCCGGGAUGAUAAUAUUGCCCAAGGUCAUUAUUGACGAUGUUAUUGUAUUAACUUGGAGACAUUAAUAUCGCCCAGAAGACUACAUUAUUGUCUGGAAGUCGAUAUUAUCAAUCAGAAGACAAUAACCGAGUCGAUAGAUCGUGUAGUUUUGUCCCGUCACCCUUGGCUGGCACAACUAACCUUUGAUAAUUCGAAACGGAAAGUCUAACGCAGCAUUAAAUCGACCUCAUUUUGUGAAGGAGCAAACUCGUUCAAUUAAAAUUUAAUUCUACGGCGCAUUUAGGGCGUCAAAUGGAAUGCCAUGUUGUGUUAUUUUAAAGUUUCUUCUUUUUCUUGGUGGUACGAAUACCUUCAUUUUGACACAUCAAUUCGAUUCCUAUUCUAUGUAAGACUGAAAGUAUAAAACAGAUAUGGAUGAACCGACGACUUAUCUUCAACACACUUACAAUUUAUGUCAAAAUAUUAUUAAAUGAGUGCGUUUAACGUGAUUAGACCAUACCUGUUUUAUACGGUCGCGUGACACUCACUUGCGAUAUUUUAUUUUUUCAGUGUAGGUCCUGCUGAACAUUUAGUUCAGUUCCUAAAACUAUGUCCUUCUAACUAACGAAAAGCAAUCGCCCCGAAAACAUUAUUUAACUUCUCGUCACAUUCGUUGAUCGAAACGUACGAUGUGUGUUGUGCUCACGACAAUAUUUAAUAUUAUAUCAUCGGUUGAUAUGUUAUCAACGCCGACCUUAAAGAUAAAAAAAAAUAUUUUUUUGUCGGUUAGUAUUUCGUUAGAUUGUGACAUGACUGCCACCAAUUCCUUAAAUUUCGGCAACAUUACCGCUGAUUCACGGCUAAUUUACGAAGAAUAUUUCAAGCACAAUGGCUACGCUGACCGAAUAGCAUUGAGAGACGAAAUGAUUCGUACGGACGACGGACCGAUUAGUGCCAUACGAGCUACCGAUGUUAGUGGACAAAACGGGCUAGCAGUAAUUACCUCUAUCAGUAAUAAUUUCGUACAGUUAGCGUUUGCAUCGGAUGGUGUUGGGCGAGGCUUUGAUUUUAGGGUCGAAAUCUAUCGUAAUGCCGAUAAUGAUGAACGUAACGAUGAUGUAAUGUCAAAGAAAUGUUGGAAUUGUUUCAAGUAAACUUAAAAGCAUCAACAUAAUCGGUUAGGAACCCACUUCGGGGACGUAGUUUUAAAUUUAUUCGCAUGAUAUCGACGGAGCGAGAGCUAGUGACAAAUUUAGAACAGGAACACAUGGUUGAUUGAUAUCUGUUCUUGCAUUGAAUUCUUUUGAGCUACGUCUAAAUGGAGUGAAUGGUGAACGUUAAGUCUUCACGACUUUUUUUUGUUAAUUUCGUUGUUAAGAAAUCCGCUUUUAACCUCUUACAGACGGCUUAUAUGAAAUACACAAGCAAAACGUGCACAAACACAAAUGAAGUAAUAGAUCGUGCAUCCAAAACACUAACAAAAUGUUACGGUUGCCGUCUGUAAAUUGUUAAAUUGAAUUAGAUAAAUAAAUGAAGAGAUCAUUGUAAAUAGUAAUUUAAGAGAAAACGUGUAAAAAAAGCGGUUAAAAAUAAAAUUGUCUUUUUUAAUUAAAGAAAA